rnacentral:rRNA from 1 species
UCGAGAAAAGCGGAGACUGCGAUUAUGUGUUUUUUCGGAAAGGCAUUGUUGCGAAAACCGCGUUAAUCGAAACGGCUUGAACCGGGCAAAAGUCGUAACAAGGUUUCCGUAGGUGAACCUGCGGAAGGAUCAUUA